UGGGGAAUAUUGGACAAUGGGGGCAACCCUGAUCCAGCAAUGCCGCGUGUGUGAAGAAGGCCUGCGGGUUGUAAAGCACUUUUGGCAGGGAUGAAAAGCACUGGAUUAAUAACCCAGUGUGUUGACCUAACCUGCAGAAGAAGCACCGGCUAACUCUGUGCCAGCAGCCGCGGUAAUACAGGGGGUGCGAGCGUUAAUCGGAAUUACUGGGCGUAAAGGGCGCGUAGGCGGUCGAGUAAGUCGGAUGUGAAAUCCCCGGGCUUAACCUGGGAAUUGCAUUCGAUACUGCUUGGCUAGAGUGUGGAAGAGGGAAGCGGAAUUUCCGGUGUAGCGGUGAAAUGCGUAGAUAUCGGAAGGAACACCAGUGGCGAAGGCGGCUUCCUGGUCCAACACUGACGCUGAGGCGCGAAAGCGUGGGGAGCAAACAGGAUUAGAUACCCUUGUAGUCCCUGAG
rnacentral:rRNA from 1 species